UAGUAAUUAAUUAAAUAAUCAAACGAGGUGAAUUGAAAUAUCUUACUAGCCUCAGGAACAUAAAUCAAACGAGAUACUCUAAGUAAUGUGAAUGAAAGGAGUCAAGUCUGAAGGACCACCCAUAUAUACAUGUGGGUAGUCUAAAGUAAGUAAAGUGGAGUGCAUAUCAGCUUGAAAACAAGGGGAACCUUCCUCUAAGACUAAAUAUGGUGUAUAAGCGAUAGCGAAUAAGUACCGCGAGGGAAAUGGUUGAAAUAGCAAUUUUAUAAGCAGCUCUAGUGGAAUUUAACAAGGAAACGUGAGCGUACCUUUUGCAUAAUGGGUCAGCAAGUUAAUAUUUGAUGCGAGCAGGCGAAGAUAAGACAAUUAUAACAGUAAUGAUGUAGUAUCAGGUAUUAGACCCGAAGCUUAGUGAUCUUACCAUGGCCAGGGCUAUAAAGGUUCGAAGGGGUUGCUGUUGCAGAAGCAUCCCAAGAGCUGUGGUAAGUUAGUGAAAGACAACACUGACUAAGAAAGCUGGUUUUUCGCGAAACCUAUAUAAGUAGGUAGUUUAAAUAGAAAGAUCAGGAGGUACAGAAUUGUGAUCCCAUGCAACUAGUACUGCUUUUCAUACCUCUAAUGGGGUAAGGAACAAGGUGCUUUUUGUGGACAUUGGGGGUUCGUGAAGAAUCUAUCAGUGGGAAUUUGUUCUCGGAAGGCCUAGAUAUGAAUUUUGAACAAUCAGACAUAACACGAUAAGGUGCUAUUCGUCUAAAGGGAGACAGCCCAGAACAAAAGUUAUAAGGUUCCUAAAUUGUUAUUAAGUGAAAGAAAGGGAGUUUUUAUCCCAAACGACCAGGAAGUAGGCUUAGCAGCGGCCAUCUUUUGAAAAACUCGUAACAGAGUACUGGUUUUGCUUUAAUUAGCGCUUUUCCGGAUGAAAGUCUGGGAAUGAGGGUAGAAGCACCGAAGAUUCAGCGGAUCUAAAUAACAUACCGAUACUUUGUCCUAGUAUAGAAAAAUAUAGUAGGGGUAGCGAAACAUUGGGGAUGUUUAUUACGAUGUCUUUAUCAGGCAUAUACCGACAACCCAAGCGAGAAUGCUGACAUGAGUAACGAUAAAGGGUAAGACUAUUACCCUCGCCUAAAGCUUAUGGUAUUAGAUUAAAGUCACGGCCUCUAAGACCGUACCUAAAUACUACCACCAGUAAGCGAGUAGAGUAUACGAAGGCGUUCGAGUGAACAAUCAUAAGGAACUCGGCAAAUUGACUCCGUAACUUCGGGAGAAGGUGGGCCGUCCCUUCUGAUUAAUAUUAGAUAGGGAAAGGAGGCACAGAAUGGUGUUGUACGACUGUUUAAUUAAAACAAAGCACACUGCAAAGAAAUAAAUUCGAAGUAUUGGGUGUGAUCUCUGCCCGAUGGCGGCUGGCUACCGGAUUUGCUUAGUUCACUAAUACAGGCUAGGCUUUGAAGGAACCCCCGUUCAAUGGCGGUCUUACGAUGAGGAUCCUAAGGUAGCGGAAUACCCUGGCCGUUAAAUGCGGUCUUGCAUGAAUGAUGUAACGAUACAACAGCUGUCUCUAUGAUUGGCUCGGUGAAAUUGGAAUAGCAGUGAACAGGCUAAUUGCGCCAGAGAGUUCAAAUUGAGUGCGCAGUUUGGCACCUUGAUCGAUGUCGGCUUAGAUUAACCUUGAGGAUGCAGGAGCCUCAAAGGGUUCGACUGUUCGUCGGUUAAAAAUCUACACGAGCUGGGUUAAGUACGUUGAGAAACAGUACGGUUUCUAUCUUCUAGAGGUAGUAGAAUAAAAUAAGGUCAGCCCCUUGUACGAAAGGAGUUGGGUAUAUUAACCUAUUGUUUACCUGUUGUUUAUCCUCCUAUAUUAAUAUAGGCACGGCAGGAAAGCUACGUUAGUGAUUGAUAAGUGCUGAAUGCAUAUAGGCACGAAGCAUACCUUAGGAUAUUCUUAAAUAUAGGUAGUUUAACACUACGAUUUCAGGUC
rnacentral:rRNA from 1 species